rnacentral:lncRNA from 1 species
UUAGGCAGCACUGAUGCAGGAGGAAUUUCAAUGAUGGGAGGGUGGGUAAGACAGAGUGGAAAUAUAAGCUCUUUCCUCUAAUAUAUAUUCCAUAUGGAAGGAAAACUUCAUAUUGGGUUAGAGUUGGGGAAUAGAGAUCUCAUUUGACUGAAGAUCGAGAGCUUGGGAAUGACUAUAAGGUUCUAUCUGCAAAAAGAUGAUUCUGAGAUAAUUGGCUUUAAAGUUCCGAACCAUCAUUGGUUUGAAUGGUGUCAGCAAUUUUUAUCUUGUAAUCUUUUGAACUUAACAUAAAUUGGGGGUAUUUAGAGUACUAUAAAUGCUAUAGAACAAGGCUAUGACAAUAACUCCAUUUAAACAAGAACGCAGAUAGAACCUUAUAGUCCCAAGCUCUCGAAAUGUCAGAAGUUUAGUUUUUUUAAAACAGAAAGACAAAAUUAUUAGCAACAAAAAAGUUAAGUUAGCAUUUAGAGUGAGGUCAAGGCUUUCUAAAUGUCCACUUGAUUGUUGUGUCUCUGAAACGUUCAAGUUAAAAUGCUAGCUGAGAGGGGAGUCAUAAUUAGUGCUAUGUGGGGACUGGAGAGUGCGUGUCUAAAGAAAAAACAUUGGUUCUUGUGGCGCUGUUAGUCCAACCCAUGUAACCCAUGGCGUAAUGAAGCGUGUUAGCUGGAGGGAAAGUUAAUGAUUGUCAACAAAGAAAGAUGAUAAUGAAAAUGGAAUACUGUACCUUAAGCAUUCAUUUCCCAUUUGUAGUUUUAAUCCCCAUUUGGCCCGGCCCAAAAUCUUACUUUAGCUCAAGCCCAAUGCCCAUGGAAUGCACAGAGAGUGUGAUUUCACCAUUUUAACAACGUUUUUAUUGAAAUAAAAUUGGAUUUAGUCGUAAAAAAAAAACGGAACAAAUUUUCUCCCAGGGUACAAUAUUUUUACAAACAAAGAAAUGGAUAAAACAAAAACAGAAGCAAAAUGAAAAUGUCUCGUCAAAAUGGGGAUAACUGCAGCUUUAAAUACAGCUGAACUCAAGCAACAUGGAACACUGAACUGCAAUGCCUCCUGGGUACUCUAGUGUAGCAAACAUUAUGACGCUCACUUGAAGCAUGACAAUAACAGUACUACCUCCUGUAUUCAAAUGUGUGUGUGUGUGUGUUUGUGUGUGUAAUUUGAUUGUUAGAGAAUUGGGUUGGUGAAUGCAGGCAUCACUAACAAGGACAACUGAGUGGCUCAGUUACUCACAAAAAAUGAAUGUUCUCCAUUUGAGUACAAAUCACACACAGGACAUGUUGCAAUCAGAACAAACACAUGAUGAGUAAAACUAAAAAUACAACAUCAGCAAACAUAGUUUGUUAUUCACAUAUGUACAACUUGCAUAUUACUACAUCAUACGAUUGUCUCCAAAUCAUUUUAAAGAGGCCAUACGAACAAAGCAAUCUUGUUUUUUUGGUAUACUCUCCAACAGAUACUACUGCAAAAUGCAAUCAACCUCGGUCUCCUGUUCUUUCUUUUCAGAGCCUCUCGUUUCACAGUGGAUGUGACAUUAUUCACAGCUUGCCGGGGCCUUAAGUCCAUUACUCAUAAAGGUGCCAUACCACACUACUUAUGAGCAUGAAUUUAACCACCCCACAUAUGUACGUUAAAUAAAGCAAGGCACUCUCUGUGUACAGGCGAGCGGGGCUGGAAUUACCUGCCAUUAAUCUGUGCAAACAAUUGACUUAAGCCCCAGUAAAUGAAGAGUCCUUUUUCAAUGGCCUGACAGGAUGUGCAGUGGCAGGCUUCAAAAUAACACAAGGUGUCUGAAAGGACCUUCCCUUGUCGUUAAGUGUGCUUUUCAAUUUCUAUAUGUCUUCUUUGCUUACCUUCCCCCACUCCCUUCUUUCCCCUUGGCUAUCUACCCUUUGGUGAAUGAUUUUAAUUAUUUUGAAGUGAAAACAUAAAAAAAGUGCAGUUAGGCCAAGCUUGUACUCUCCAGUGGUAGCCAACAGACAAUAAAAGUGUCUAAGGAAUUCACCAGCACUUUGUCACACUCAAAUGAACAAACUCAGUGUGAAAGGAAAUAGAAUCCUGCCAUAAAAAGGGACUUUAAAACCAAAUGAUUUCUCUAAACACAUUAAAAUAUACGGAAUGACUCUGUGUGGGGCAGUGUAGGUGCUCAACCAAAGAUGUGCCUCCUGUAAAAUAAAAACAACACAAAAACAUAAGCUCCUUCAUUUAAAAAACAUAAGCUCCUUCAUUUAAACCCCUCAAAAGGUUGAGAUAAAUUAAAUGUUUCCUUCUUAGCGUGAAAGUGUAGUGAGUCCAUUUUAAGGUGAGGAUUUUUUUAAAUGACAAACAUAAACAUAACAAAAAAUAAAAAUGAGAGAUGAAAAGGCAAGCCUGCCCUGAUUUGGGAAAGGUGGUGGCGUGAUCGCGGUGAGAGAAUGAGUGAUCAGUGCAGCUUUGGUAGCAAAUCUCUGUGAUUCAGUCCAAAUUCUACCAAACCUCGUCGGUCCAUAUAAUGUUCCUGUUGUACCCUGCUGUGGGGAAGUAGUCGCCUACCUGUUUGUUGCUGUAUUUCGGCGGGUUUGCCUUGUAGCUGUAAUCCGAAUAUUGAUCGGAGCCUGUAGAGUUGUUGUCACCUGUGCCCACAAAGGUGUUGGUGGCAGGCAGGUCCUGAACGGCUUGGUGCUUCUUGGAGGCAGAGGGGGACUGGGGCUGCAGCUGGAUGGAGGGCAGUGGGGAGUUGGAGCGGUAGUGUCUGCCCAGGUCGGGGCUGCCCGGGGGGUAGUUGAGGGGCAGGUGGAUCCGGGGACUGUCAUUGACACUAUCGUUUAUGAGGUUGAAGUUGAGGCCCUUCUGGAGGCUGGCCUCUUCAUCCUCCUCCAGUGGCUUGGUGGGCUUGGGCACCUUGCCCUUCUUGCUCUUUUUGCCCUUGCCAUUCUUGGGCCCUGCUUUGGGGGCGUACAGGUCCUUACUCUCCUUCUUGCCCGCCUGGUAGCCGCUCUUGGUGUCCUUCUGCAUGCGAUGGCGGAUCACCACCACCACCACGAUGACCAGGAUGACUCCGGCGAUGCCCGCUAGGCUGCCGUACAGGAUAUUGCUGCGCUGGGCCAGCGCGUAGUUGGGGUCCCCGGCAAUGUCUCUGUCCAGAGGAGUGUAGAGGCUGUGACCCACCAGAGACUCAAUCAGGGUGAUGUUGCCCAUGGUCUCGUUGACGAAGAUGUGGACCAGGGCGGUGGUGUGGCGUGGUGGCUUGCCUUUGUCGCUCACCUUCACCACCAGACGGUGGAGCCCGUUGUGCUUGCGGGUGAACUCCUGGGCCAGGGUUAUCUCCCCAUUGGUGGGCGAGAUGUGAAACAGUCCGUAGGGGUUCCCGCCGGUAAUGCUGAAGACCAGCUCGGCGUUGGGUCCUGUGUCGAUGUCUUCAGCCUCCACCACUUCCACGCGUGUCUCGGGGGUCGUGAGAGGUGGGAGUUAUCGUUCUCGUCCAAGACGUUGAUGGUCACACCCACGUAGGAGGACCUGGGAGGGUCACCGGCGUCCACAGCCUUGAGGCGGAAAGUGUAUGUGCUCUCCUUCUCACGGUCAAAGGAGAUGCUGGAAAGGAUAGUGCCUGUGCCAUUCUGGAUGACAAACUUGCCAUUGUCGGGCUCCACCGAGAGCCGAACCCUGGCGUUCUCGCCCUUAUCUGCAUCGAUGACCGUCACCAUGCCAACAGGGCUGAGCGGAGGCAUGUUCUCCAAAACGGAGAAGCUGUAGCCGCUCAACAUGAACUUGGGUUCGUUGUCGUUACGGUCCAGCACCUUGACCACUACCGUGGCUGUCCCCCUCAGGCUAGGCGAGCCCUUAUCGGCCGCUGCCACGUGGAACUCGUACUGCUCUCUGUGCUCACGGUCCAGCGUAUUCCUCACGUGCACCUCUCCCGUUUUGGGGUCGAUCUCAAAGAGCCCCUUAGUGGUCGAGUCCAUGAUGAUGCUGUAGGUCAGCUCUGCGUUGGACCCACUGUCCGCGUCCGUGGCCACCACAUCCAGGACCUUAUCACCUGGCUGAUUCUCCUCUGCAAAGUCCACCUCAAACAGGGUGGGGGAGAAUACAGGGGCAUUGUCAUUCAUGUCGGUGACUUGCACCUUCAGGGAGUUUGUGCUGGACAGUGCAGGGUUACCGGAGUCCACCGCUACUAUUUCAAUCCUGUAGUCCUUGAUGCGCUCGUAGUCUAGCAGGGUCGUGGUCUGCAGGAAGUAUUUCCUCUUGCGGUCGUUGGCUGACUCGCUGGCGGGCCGCAGCUGGAAGGGGACGUCCCCGGCCACCACACAGGUGACCACAGCAUUUUCCCCUUCAUCACGAUCCGACACCUGCACCAGGGCCACAGGCGUGCCGAUGGGCAUGUCCUCUGAGAUGUUGGCCACGCCGUCGUGGUGGGUGACCAGGCCGAUGCCACGGAUCUCGAUGGCGGGUGCAUUAUCGUUCUGGUCCUUGACGUUGAUGGUCACCAGGACUUUGGAGUUCUUGGAGUUGGGGCCGCGGUCCUUGGCCACCACGAAGAACUUGAGGAAGCUCUCCUCCUCGCGGUCCACCAGCCCCUUGACGUAGAUGAUCCCUGUGGAGCGGUCAAUGCGUAGCAACCUCUGGACGGCAUCGGAGGCCUGGUGCAGGCUAUAGUCGAUCUCCCCGUUGGUACCCAUGUCAGCGUCGUUGGCUUUCACCUGGACACACGCACACACACAAACGCAUAAAAGAUUAGCCUUUAGCUUCUGCAACCUACCGUUUUCAAAACCACGAAACAAUUGUAUUCCCCAUAAUUUAUGUAAAUGCCUCUAAAUUCACUCCUAGAUUGUAUCAAAGCCUUGAUUCUCCUCAUAGCUCAAGUUCAUGCUCUGUGUCAUGCAUAAUGGACUAUCAAAACUAAGCAUGCGCAGCCCCACAUAAACAUCUAGUGAUUGUCACAUGGGUCAUUGGCAGCUAAUGGGGAAAUGACUGAGAGUGUUAAUGUUCCUCCCAUUAUCAAAAGGCCCUUGUUCCUACAGGGGCCAACAGGAGGAGAUAGAGUGACAGAGAUUGGUGGCAACGGA